UUUGCAGGGAGAAAUCACGGUUCAGGAGAAAUAAGUAUCUCCCCACCGCCAGGGAAUAAACCUGCCCUAUAAAGCUGUGCAGGGGUGCGGGUGGCGCUGUGGGUUAAACCACAGAGCCUAGGACUUGCCGAUCAGAAGGUCGGCGGUUCGAAUCCCCGCGACGGGGUGAGCUCCCGUUGCUCAGUCCCUGCUCCUGCCAACCUAGCAGUUUGAAAGCACAUCGAAGUGCAAGUAGAUAAAUAGGUACUGCUCUGGCGGGAAGGUAAACGGCGUUUCCGUGCGCUGCUCUGCUUCGCCAGAAGCGGCUUAGUCAUGCUGGCCACAUGACCCGGAAGCUGUACGCCGCCUCUCUCGGCCAAUAAAGCGAGAUGAGCGCCGCAACCCCAGAGUCGGUCACGACUGGACCUAAUGGUCAGGGGUCCCUUUACCCUUUACCUAUAAAGCUGUUUCAGCCUGAUCCUAUCUGUAUAUUCAGAAGUCUGCACAGUGAGGCUUAUGCACACAUAAGUAUUCACAGAAUUGCAGCCUUACAAUGGAGUCCUGUGCAUGUUUACUUAGGAGUAAAUCUGAUUGAGUUUAAUGAGAUUCCCUGCUAACUGAAUAUGUAUUAGGGCUGGGAAGCUUUUCAGCCUGAGGACUACAUUCCCUUAUGGUUAUUUUAUGGGAGUUGCUUGCUGAUAAUGGUGGGAGUCAGAGAUAAAAAUGGUGUAGCAAUUAAUGUAACAGCAUUGGAAAGAUUUCAACGCAUAUCCAUCAAUGCAGAUAAAAACAAUCUAGCCAGGAACAAAGUAGGUUGGUGAGAGGCUUGGUCUGGGGAGGGGGCAUGGAGAGCUACACUUGGUCCCUGGGCCUGAAGUUCCCCAUCCUUGGUAUAUAAGAUUGCAGUCUUAGUAAUUCCCUAAUUAAAACAUGCAGCCCUGUUUAAACUGCUGAGAUGUGGGAAAUUAUGCAGUUUGCCAGAGCUCCCUAUUCUUUCACUUGGUUCCUUUGUCCACUCUUCUACCCUCUGCUGUGGUGCAAAACUGAAAUCUUGCUUGCUAUUGUAGGAUUGGGAGAAGGUAGAUGAAGGAACUGUCAUGACUGCAUUUUUCUUCUUAUGCACUGUUAAAGGUGUGUGUGUGUGUGUGUGUGUGUGUGUGUGUGUGUGUAUGACAACUCUGGGUUGUAUCCAACUGUGUUUUACUCAGAAUAGAUCCACUGAAAUGAAUGGACCUAAGUUAGCUGUGCUCAUUCAUUCUAAUAGAUCAUACUUAUCAACUCUUAAGUAUGAUUAAAGUUAGAUACUACCAUCUGUAUUAUAACCCAGCAAUCUUAACAUUUAGUUCUUUGUAUUUAUUUAUAAAACCUCGCCUUCAGACAUAUAAGCCCAAUUCAGACACAGCAGCUCUGGUCUGACAGCCAUGGUUUAAGGCUCCCUCCAUAAUAAUUAUUAUUUGUUAGUUGUUAGUUUUCUUAACCCCCCUUUCACCAAAGUCCCAGGGGUCACAACAAUCUUAAAAUACAAUCUUAAAAUCAGUUAAAAGUUUGCGAUCAGAAGAGGAGAGCGAGUCCUAAACAUGAAACCAGGUUCCAUUGUUUAUCAGCCCAGAUUCUUUCUAUUUGAACAGGGACAUAGCUUUACUUAAACUUGCAGUGCUAACCUAAAAACAACAUAUGUAAAAGCAGCAGAAAAUAACCUCUAUAAAAUACAGGUAGUAAAAUCAGUCAAAACAUCAAAACAGCUAAAGUGAAUAAAAGGGACCCCUGUAAAAUUUUCAUCCCUAAUAUCAGGACCAGUAUGCUUCUUAGGAACUACUGUGCUAGAGAAACCUUCAAAAACCCAGUAGUUCCUUGUGACUACCUGAGGGAGUCAGGAGAAUAGCUUUCAUAUAAGAAAGCAGGGAGCUCUUGGCAGAAGUGUAAAGAAGGCUGAUUAUGACAUUCACUUGGGAUGUAGAAGGUGUGGGUUCAGUUCCCUCUUGUAUUCAUUUUCUUAAGAUUCAAUUCACACUAUACUUUAGCUUUCUAUCUGUAGAGGUUAACAGGUUUUUGUUUUUUACAAAAUGUUGAGAUGGUCAGACACUGUGGGAGACAGGUCUAACAAGAGACAGAAAAUAAAAUAGUUACAGUGUCAACGUAGAUGUGUUCUAAACAGCAGACUUUAAAACCAAAGUGAGAGUUGACCCACCCUAAGGAGGUACACAUGGGACUUUGAUAGAAGAAGUGUGAGCAGAGGACCGAAUAAAGGAGGGAAAUGGAACAAAGUUCAAGAAGAAAAAGGAUAGCAAAUC